CAUCACCUACUGUCUCAAUAGAGCAUACUCCAGUGAUGACAGCUACUCCAGACAGUACACCAAUAAUACAAUUGUUAUAUACUCUGUCUUCAGUGGUAGCAGGUUCAGUCAUCUUCCUAAUAUUAGUAAUAGUAUCAAUAUUUUGGAUUAGAAGAAGGAAGAAAAAUGAAGUAACUAAAGAUCCGAUUACUACAAAUAUUCCAG